UGACCCAGAAGUCGUGUUGUAACUGCUACACCGAAGAUUAAACAGUAAAUAUUAGUGCUACUGUAUCUGCCGUCUUUAUCCUCUAGCAACUGUUUUACAUCUUCUUUUCUGUUACCUUGUAGAAGAGCUUCAAGUAAAAUCCUGCUGCUUUAGAAGCAGUGAUAUAAUCAGUGCUCUCAGAGUGGAAAAAAAAAAACCUGGCGUGUUCUGGCUUGCAUUUUUUGAAGAGAGAAAACAAUUGGUCCAUUGCUGAAAAGUUGUGCCACUCGGUGCAGCCCCCAUGAUGUGUGACCUGCGGCGUUGGAGAUGCAGGGCACAUCCCCUCCCUCCUCUGCAACCGCAGGAUGGAGACGCGAGGUUCUUUCUGCCCUCCCUGAAAUAAGCGAGUUCUGUUCACCGGCCAAGAACGUACCAGUAAAUAUAAGGAUUGUGUAAGUUGCUUGCAAUGCCCAAAGUAUAAACAAACUUGUGCCCUCGGAAAGGUGAGUUUCUGGCGGGUUUCCAGGGGAGUUCCCUCGGCGCUGCAGAGCUGAGGCGUUCCUCUUGAAGGUAAAAGACAAAUUUUAGAUAUUUACGCAAGACAGAAAGAGGAAAGGUGCAGUACGGAGGGAUACAAAAUGAGGUGUCUGCUGGUGGUGCUGGUGGUGGUGGUGCUUUUCACACUGACCUGUGGCUCUAGAUUUAUUUCCUCGCUCAGCAGUAUCGAAGGGCUCCGCUUUCAAACCGUGUCAGCACGAGUGACAAGUGCACGAAUGGAAUAUUCCUGUGGAAUAUCGUGGAAUCAGAUCUAACAUUUCUCCUGUGAAACGUAUGGAUGAAGUCAGGUGUUCCUUUAUCCGUGAGCUGAGAGGAAGAACAAGACAGAGAGGGAGGGAGGCAGAAGAGAUAUCGCCAAUUACUCUGUUGCAAGGCAUCAAGGUGCUACUGUGGUAUUUCUGACCGUGUCCCAGAUUGUCACACCUGGGUGCUCCUUGCACGUGCGGAGCCAGGAAAUAAUGGUGACGGGUCACUCCUUCUCCCCAGUCCACAGGAGGAACAAGUCGUUCCGUACCUGCUCUGCAGAAUCCGCCUGGAAGGAAAGCUGAACGGAGCCGGGAAAGCCAGCGCCUCCUCGCCUGCUUCCUCGGCAGGUGAACUCUGCGACCGCAGCGGCGUUUCCCUCCCUCCCUCCCUCCCUCCUUGCCUCCCCCGGGGGCUGCGCGCUGGGAAGUUCCAGUGAAAUAUAGCCGCUGUGGAAAGUCCUGCUCACAGCGUUGGAGACGUGACCUCUCGGCGAGUCAGAUCCAAUUUUACGGGCGGCUCUGAGUCAGGGUGGAGCCCAAGGACUGAACUUUGUACGCGAGGAGGAAGUGAAGCCGGUGGCAGCUUGUGUUACUAAGCAGAUGAGUUGCCGUAUUUUUAUGUCAGCUGAUAGUUCCGUGGGGCGUGUGACUUCGUUCUUCAUAGAUACGAUGCCUUCCAUUUAUUAAGGACAAAGGUCAGAAAUUGCCAGCCCCGCGAUAGCUGUGUCGCUCCCGAUAAGAAGAGGCAUGUCCUGCCGAGCCGUCGAAGAUGGAAAGGGGAGUCCUUCCGUGCUGCUUCUGCGCGGUGAAAACAAAACCGACCGUGAAACUGUCAGUUCGCGUUCACGCUCCAGGAGCAAACGUCCUCACAAGCAGGGAUGUUGUGGAGUAGGUCAGCUCCUCCAGAGCUCACCCACUGCCCCCGAUUAAAGAGGUGGCCUGUCGAACCGGGUGUUCUUCUCCCCGGUGGUAACGGGAACCGGAGGGGCUGAGGUGAGCAGCCGGGCACCGGUCUGUUAAAUCAGAAUUGAGGUGGAAAACUGAGCAAUCCCGCCCCUUUGGUAAAUGAAGCCCUGAGUCUAUUUGGGAAGGAGAGCGAGUCGUUUAUCACCUCUGUGCUGCUGGCACCUCGGUGGGUGCCACCUUCCAGCUGUCCAGAUCGUCACGGGCAAGUGGCAGUACCCGGGCAGCGUUUCUGAGAGGCUUAAGGGGGCAGGUUGGGCCCACAACUGGGUCCGUACCCGUGCAACCCACAGUGACGAGUCCCGCUGCGCUGUCUGCGAUGGCACCUCCACCUCUCCCCCCCUUAAAGUCUGCAGUUAGCCUUGAGAGCACCGCGGCUUUGUUAUCCUUGUUCUGAGAGAUACCACUGUAUCGGAAAACUUUCUCCAGAAAAGAAUGAAUUUUGAGAAUGGUAUUAAUUCUCGGUGUUCUCAG
ensembl:lncRNA